UACGUAGGGUGCGAGCGUUAAUCGGAAUUACUGGGCGUAAAGCGUGCGCAGGCGGUGAUGUAAGACAGAUGUGAAAUCCCCGGGCUUAACCUGGGAACUGCGCUUGUAACUGGCAAGCUAGAGUGUGGCAGAGGGGGGUGGAAUUCCACGUGUAGCAGUGAAAUGCGUAGAGAUGUGGAGGAACACCGAUGGCGAAGGCAGCCCCCUGGGCUAACACUGACGCUCAUGCACGAAAGCGUGGGGAGCAAACAGG
rnacentral:rRNA from 1 species